CAUGUGGGCCGACCUCAUGAAGAACGGGCAGGUCCGGGCCAGUGCCAUCGCCCAGGACGCGGAUCAGAACUACGACUACGCCAGCAACAGCGUCAUCCUGCACCUGGACGUGGGGGACGAAGUCUUCGUCAAGCUGGACGGCGGCAAAGUCCACGGGGGCAACACCAACAAGUACAGCACCUUCUCCGGCUUCAUCAUCUACCCCGACUGACCCCCCCCCAGCGUGAGGAGGGGGCUGCACAGUCCGGGAGGGGGGCUGCAGAAGCCGGGAGGGGCUCUCCCAGCUCCCACCAGGGCGCUUCAGCUCUUACCAAUGCGACCAUUCCCUGCGAGAGCGCUGGGCAUAAAGAGACCCCCCCCGCCCCAAAAGGAAGACAUCACCAACCCCCUGCCCCCCACCCACACUCCAUCAUCUUGCACCACCACCACCACCCCCCACUCAUAAAAACAGCCCCAUCGGUGCCCCCCACCCCGACCCCCGCCCCGCAUGCCAGCACCCGCCAAAGGCAUCGCGGUGUCCCGGUGCUGUCCCCACCCCCGGGGCACCCUCAGCUCCCGUCCCACCCGCGGGCUCCGUGGCCGUGUGUGUGUGUGUGUGUGUCCCCCAAUAAAACACGCGGGGUUUGGGUGUGCA